rnacentral:lncRNA from 1 species
GGAAAGAGGUGCCCAUGCCCAGGGACCUGUGUUCAUUUUAGAUUGUAAGCAACAUGAGGGCAGGGACUAUAUAUCAUUUUAUAUCUCUCUCAUCCUAACCCCCUACCAGUGGCUCAUUCAAUUUGGAAGACAUAAUAAUAGUUCUUUAUAAGGCUUACACGGGGUCAGAUGCUGUGUGGGGCACUUUACUUAUGUCAUGUCAUUUUAUCUUCACAAUAAGACUAAGGUAUAUAGGCGUUAUUAUUCCCAUUUAACAGAUGAAGAUGCUCUAGCCACACUGCCUCACUCGAUAGUAAGUGUCCUGGAAUCUUAGAGCUAGAACAAACCUUAAAGGUCAUUUGGAACAAACCCUUAUGUUUUCGGUUGAAGUUCCUGAGACUCAGAGAGGUUGAGGAUUGUCCAAGGUCACUCAGCUAAUCUGUAACUCAGCAAGUCCUCAAGCCAAGCGCUUUCCUCCUCCCACCUCACCGUGAAGGGGCACCUGGUUUGACAGGGCAGAUCGUCCUACGAAAGGAACGGAACUACACGGAGCUUGAGGCUGAUGCAGGAGCCCUGGCUGGAUGGGUCACGACUCCGAGGGCCAGUCCCUCCUGCCUCAGGGCCAUGAGGAGUUGAAUUGGGCCCUGGUCAGGAUGGCUCUGCCCUCUGGACUCCCUGGGAAAUGAACUCCUUUACAAGGUGCCUCAACUCCACUUGGGAAGUACGUAUUGAGUGCCUACUCUGAGGAGGAAAAGCCCCCAGCUGAAAACCGGGGACUCUGCUUCCAGCCCCAUCUCAUCAACCAACCAUUUGAGGGUUCUCACAGGAAUGGACGUCCGAUGACCCCAGGACAGUGAGCCAGCUUGGGUGAGGAGCCCAUAGGUGGUCAAGCACACAGCAACGCUUCAGGCCUCUGGACACAAUCUUCUACAGGAGCAAUAACCAGAAGUAAAACCAGAAGGGAGCUUGUGCACUGACUGUGGGAAGCAAGGAAUCACACUGUUCUUUACUGCAUACAAAAUUCCCCCACGUUGAGAUUGUUUCUGGAAUCAUAAAAGGGGUCUUUCUUGGGGACAACAAUUGCAACCUGGCCUUGUCCUCUAAGUCUGCUCAGAGCAUUAAACAACUUUCGAAUCAUAUUCUCAUAAACCAUCCCAUUUGGGUCUCCUGGAAGUCCUGUGAGGAAGGCAGUGAAGGUAUUGGUGGCACAGUGUCUUCCUGAAGGUUCACUGGAAAAAUGGCAACAUAUUUUUGUGGAGCUGUUGACAGCAAUAGCAAUUUCUGCAAGAGGCAUUGGCCUUUGUAAACUGGUCAAGCUUUGGCAUGAAUAAACCGGCCAAUUCAGUAAAGAGGACCCA